rnacentral:rRNA from 1 species
AUUGAACGCUGGCGGCAGGCCUAACACAUGCAAGUCGAGCGAGCGGCGGACGGGUGAGUACUGUAUGGGGAUCUGCCCGAUAGAGGGGGAUAACUACUGGAACCGGUGGAUAAUACCGACUACUCUCAGAUGAACACAUGUGGGAUUAGCUAGUAUGUGGGGUAAAGGCUCACCUAGGCGCCGAUCUCUAGCUGGACUUAGAGGAUGAUCAGCCACUCUGGGACGGAGACACGGCCCAUACUCCUACGGGAGGCAGCAGUGGGGAAUAUUGCACAAUGGGCGCAAGCCUGAUGCAGCCAUGCCGCGUGUAUGAAGAAGGCCUUAGGGGUGUAAAGUACUUUCAGCGGGGAGGCGUUACCCGCAGAAGAAGCACCGGCUAACUCCGUGCCAGCAGCCGCGGUAAUUC